rnacentral:rRNA from 1 species
UGGCUCAGAUUGAACGCUGGCGGCAGGCCUAACACAUGCAAGUCGAACGGUAACAGGAAGCAGCUUGCUGCUUUGCUGACGAGUGGCGGACGGGUGAGUAAUGUCUGGGAAACUGCCUGAUGGAGGGGGAUAACUACUGGAAACGGUGGCUAAUACCGCAUAACGUCGCAAGACCAAAGAGGGGGACCUUCGGGCCUCUUGCCAUCAGAUGUGCCCAGAUGGGAUUAGCUUGUUGGUGAGGUAACGGCUCACCAAGGCGACGAUCCCUAGCUGGUCUGAGAGGAUGACCAGCCACACUGGAACUGAGACACGGUCCAGACUCCUACGGGAGGCAGCAGUGGGGAAUAUUGCACAAUGGGCGCAAGCCUGAUGCAGCCAUGCCGCGUGUAUGAAGAAGGCCUUCGGGUUGUAAAGUACUUUCAGCGGGGAGGAAGGUGUUGUGGUUAAUAACCGCAGCAAUUGACGUUACCCGCAGAAGAAGCACCGGCUAACUCCGUGCCAGCAGCCGCGGUAAUACGGAGGGUGCAAGCGUUAAUCGGAAUUACUGGGCGUAAAGCGCACGCAGGCGGUCUGUCAAGUCGGAUGUGAAAUCCCCGGGCUCAACCUGGGAACUGCAUUCGAAACUGGCAGGCUUGAGUCUUGUAGAGGGGGGUAGAAUUCCAGGUGUAGCGGUGAAAUGCGUAGAGAUCUGGAGGAAUACCGGUGGCGAAGGCGGCCCCCUGGACAAAGACUGACGCUCAGGUGCGAAAGCGUGGGGAGCAAACAGGAUUAGAUACCCUGGUAGUCCACGCCGUAAACGAUGUCUACUUGGAGGUUGUGCCCUUGAGGCGUGGCUUCCGGAGCUAACGCGUUAAGUAGACCGCCUGGGGAGUACGGCCGCAAGGUUAAAACUCAAAUGAAUUGACGGGGGCCCGCACAAGCGGUGGAGCAUGUGGUUUAAUUCGAUGCAACGCGAAGAACCUUACCUGGUCUUGACAUCCACAGAAGAAUCCAGAGAUGGAUUUGUGCCUUCGGGAACUGUGAGACAGGUGCUGCAUGGCUGUCGUCAGCUCGUGUUGUGAAAUGUUGGGUUAAGUCCCGCAACGAGCGCAACCCUUAUCCUUUGUUGCCAGCGGUUAGGCCGGGAACUCAAAGGAGACUGCCAGUGAUAAACUGGAGGAAGGUGGGGAUGACGUCAAGUCAUCAUGGCCCUUACGACCAGGGCUACACACGUGCUACAAUGGCGCAUACAAAGAGAAGCGACCUCGCGAGAGCAAGCGGACCUCAUAAAGUGCGUCGUAGUCCGGAUUGGAGUCUGCAACUCGACUCCAUGAAGUCGGAAUCGCUAGUAAUCGUGGAUCAGAAUGCCACGGUGAAUACGUUCCCGGGCCUUGUACACACCGCCCGUCACACCAUGGGAGUGGGUUGCAAAAGAAGUAGGUAGCUUAACCUUCGGGAGGGCGCUUACCACUUUGUGAUUCAUGACUGGGGUGAAGUCGUAACAAGGUAACCGUAGGGGAACCUGCGGUUGGAUCACCUCCUUACCUUAAAGAA